AUUUUGGCUUUAAAAAAUUUAUUAUUAAUUUAUAUUAUAUGUAAAUUUUUGUGUGAUUUUAUAUUUAUUUGAAAAGUAAAUAUUAUUUUAUAUAUUUGCAAUAAUUAAUAUUAUUAAUUAAAGAAAUUUAGAAAUAGAAAUAUUAAUUUAAUAUUAACAUAAUUUGUGCCAGCAGUUGCGGUUAUACAAAUAAUAUAAAUAAAUUUUAUUAGUAAUAGUUAAAUGUUUAUUUUAAAAUAUAAAUAAAUUUAUUAAGUGAAAUUUUAAAUUUUCUUUAUUUUUAAAAAUAAAAAUUAUUGAAGCUAAGAAUUUUUAAUUAAAAACUAGGAUUAGAUACCCUAUUAUUUAAAAGGUAAAUAAAUUUAUUUGAGUAGUAUUAGUUAUAAUCUUGAAACUAAAAAAAUUUGGCGGUAUUUUAGUCUAUUCAGAGGAACUUGUUUUUUAAUCGAUAAUCCACGAUGUACCUUACUUAAAAUUGUUAAUCAAUCUAUAUAUCGUUGUUAUUAGAAUAUUUUAUAAGAAUAAUAAUUUUCUAUAAUUUAUAUUAAAAUUAAUAUCAAAUCAAGGUGUAGUUUAUUUUUAAGUAUAAAUGAGUUACAAUAAAAUAUAUUUAUGAAUUUAAAUAUGAAAAAUUUAAUGAAAUUGGAUUUGAUAGUAAAAUUAUAAAGAUUAAUAAUUUGAUUUUAGCUCUAAAAUAUGUACAUAUCGCCCGUCACUCUUGUUAAUUAAAAUAAGAUAAGUCGUAACAUAGUAGAUGUACUGGAAAGUGUAUCUAGAA
rnacentral:ncRNA from 1 species